AUACGGAGGAUGCAAGCGUUAUCCGGAUUUAUUGGGUUUAAAGGGUGCGUAGGCGGAUGAUUAAGCGUGAGGUGAAAUGCCACUGCUCAACAGUGGAACUGCCUCGCGAACUGGUUGUCUUGAAUGCUCCUGCCGUGGGAGGAAUGUGUGGUGUAGCGGCGAAAUGCAUAGAGAUCACACAGAACACCGAUUGCGAAGGCAUCUCACGAAGGGGUGAUUGACGCUGAGGCACGAAAGCGUGGGGAUCAGACAGGAUUAGAUACCCUGGUAGUCCACGCAGUAAACGAUGAUAACUAACCGCUGGGUCGUAGUGAUUCAGUGGCCAAGCGAAAGCGAUAAGUUAUCCACCUGGGGAGUACGACCGCAAGGUUGAAACUCAAAUGAAUUGACGGGG
rnacentral:rRNA from 1 species